GCGCCUGUAGCUCAGUUGGAUAGAGCAUCGGAUUUCUAAUCCGACGACCGGGGGUUCAAAUCCCUCCAGGCGCG
rnacentral:tRNA from 1 species